rnacentral:rRNA from 1 species
AUUGAACGCUGGCGGCAUGCUUUACACAUGCAAGUCGAACGGUAACAGCCUUUCGUUUGCUGACGCGUGGCGGACGGGUGGGUAAUGCAUCGGAACGUACCCAGCGGUUGGGUUUAGCGCAGCUUAAGCUGUGCUAGUACAGCAUGUGAUCUGAGUUUGAAAGCGGGGGUCCGGGCAGCAAUGUUUGGCCUCUCGCCUUUGGAGCCGCCGAUGUCGGAUUAGUUAGUUGGUGGGGUAAUGGCCUACCCAGGGGACGAUCGGUAGCUGGUCUGAGAUGACGAUCAGCCACACUGGAAGUGAGACACGGACCAGAGGCCUACGGGAGGCAGCAAUGGGGAAUUUUGGACAAUGGGCGCAAGCCUGAUCCAGCAAUGCCGCGUGCGGGAAGAAGGCCUUCGGGUUGUAAACCGCUUUUGGCAGGAACGAAACGGUGUCCGCUAAUACCGGGCGCUAAUGACGGUACCUGCAGAAUAAGCACCGGCUAACUACGUG